UACGGAGGAUGCGAGCGUUAUCCGGAUUCAUUGGGUUUAAAGGGUGCGUAGGCGGCCCGGUAAGUCAGCGGUGAAAGUUUGCGGCUCAACCGUAAAAUUGCCGUUGAUACUGUCGGGCUUGAGUUCAGAUGAAGUGGGCGGAAUGAGUAGUGUAGCGGUGAAAUGCUUAGAUAUUACUCAGAACACCGAUUGCGAAGGCAGCCCACUAAACUGCGACUGACGCUGAUGCACGAAAGCGUGGGGAUCGAACAGGAUUAGAUACCCUGGUAGUCCACGCCGUAAACGAUGUUCACUCGCUGUUUGCGAUAUAUUGCAAGCGGCCAAGCGAAAGCAUUAAGUGAACCACCUGGGGAGUACGAUCGCAAGGUUGAAACUCAAAGGAAUUGACGGGGGCCCGCACAAGCGGAGGAACAUGUGGUUUAAUUCGAUGAUACGCGAGGAACCUUACCCGGGCUUAAAUGUAGGCUGCAUGAGGUGGAAACACCCUUCCCUUCGGGGCUGCCUACAAGGUGCUGCAUGGUU
rnacentral:rRNA from 1 species